rnacentral:rRNA from 1 species
GCUCCAAUAGCGUAUAUUAAAGUUGUUGUGGUUAAAAAGCUCGUAGUUGGAUCUCGGCGGGCAGAAGUCGGUUUGAAAGAUUUCAAUACUGGCUUGUUUGCUCGUGUGUUUUGUCAGAGGCAUGUGGGUGCUCUUCACCGAGUGUCCAUGUGUGCUGACAGGUUUACUUUGAAAAAAUUAGAGUGCUCAAAGCAAGCUCA